GAUGAACACUGGCUGUGUGCCUUAGACAUGCAAGUCGAACGGUAACGGGCCUUCGGGUGCCGACGAGUGGCGAACGGGUGAGUAAUGUAUCGGAACGUACCUUUCAGUGGGGGAUAACGUAGCGAAAGUUACGCUAAUACCGCAUAUUCUGUGUGCAGGAAAGCAGGGGAUCGCAAGACCUUGCGCUGAUUGAGCGGCCGAUAUCAGAUUAGCUAGUUGGUGAGGUAAAGGCUCACCAAGGCGACGAUCUGUAGCGGGUCUGAGAGGAUGAUCCGCCACACUGGAACUGAGACACGGUCCAGACUCCUACGGGAGGCAGCAGUGGGGAAUUUUGGACAAUGGGGGCAACCCUGAUCCAGCCAUGCCGCGUGAGUGAAGAAGGCCUUCGGGUUGUAAAGCUCUUUCGGCCGGGAAGAAAUCGUAUCAGCUAAUACCUGGUGCGGAUGACGGUACCGGCAUAAGAAGCACCGGCUAACUACGUGCCAGCAGCCGCAGUAAAAC
rnacentral:rRNA from 1 species